rnacentral:rRNA from 1 species
GUAGGAGGCGAGCGUUAUCCGGAUUCACUGGGCGUAAAGCGCGUGCAGGCGGUUUGGUAAGUUGGGCGUGAAAGCUCCUGGCUCAACUAGGAGAGGUCGUUCAAUACUACCAAACUAGAGAAUAGAAGAGGAAGAUGGAAUUCCCGGUGUAGUGGUGAAAUGCGUAGAUAUCGGGAGGAACACCAGUGGCGAAGGCGAUCUUCUGGUCUAUUUCUGACGCUCAGACGCGACAGCUAGGGUAGUAAACGGGAUUAGAGACCCCGGUAAUCCUAGCCGUAAACGAUGUGAACUUGGCGUCGGUGGCUUAAACACCAUCGGUGCCGAAGCAAACGCGAUAAGUUCACCGCCUGGGGACUACGGCCGCAAGGUUAAA